rnacentral:lncRNA from 1 species
GAAGUCAAGGGCCAGCUUCUAGCUCACAAGGAGUAACCGCAACAGGCCUAAGAAUGCCAAUUGGAGAUCCGGCAUUUAUGAACAGGCACGACCACAAUCCAAGAUUAAGUCCCAGUGAGCUCGAAGAUUUGGCUAAGAGAGAUGAAGCCAGCAGAAAAAGGAGAGCAGAAGAAAAGGCAAAUCCUCCAAGGAGCAAGAAGCCAAG